rnacentral:rRNA from 1 species
UACGUAGGGUGCAAGCGUUUGUCCGGAAUUAUUGGGCGUAAAGAGCUCGUAGGCGGUUUGUUGCGUCGGCUGUGAAAUCCCGAGGCUCAACCUCGGUCGUGCAGUCGAUACGAGCAAACUAGAGUGUUGCAGGGGAGACUGGAAUUCCUGGUGUAGCGGUGAAAUGCGCAGAUAUCAGGAGGAACACCAGUGGCGAAGGCGGUCUCCUGGGGCAUUCUUGACGCUGAGAAUACGAAAGCCAAGGUAGCAAACAGG